ensembl:lncRNA
CUUUUUAAAUAUGUUGUGUAAGAUGUAUUUACUUCUCUGUCUGCUUUUCUUUCUCCAUGUAGGUUUCCCAGAGACUAUGGGUUGAGGAGGAAGUGGAAGCAGCUCUGAGGAGAGAGGGGUUUGCUGCAAAUGAUGAGUGGGUGCUCUACAGGGACCAUUUUAAACCUGAUGAGUUUGACGGGGCUGGGCAGGUUUGUCGGCUUAGACCUGGUGUCAUUCCAUCAGUGUUAAACUUCCCGGCUCAUCUUGGAAGAGUACGUGCCAGAAAGACCACGACCAAGCAGCCUUGAGAUCUUAGGCAGCGUCUCCCUGAGGUCCCUCUCUAUCUCCCCACAUAUCCACCAACCACUGGAACACAUCUCCAAAGUUCUGCUGGACCAGCUCAGCUUCCCCUCAGAAGAAGUGCUGCCACCUGCCAGAUGAAGGAGCCUUUUGAGAGGCAGCUGGCAUCGUGAUUGGACUGUACUUUGGUCUGUUCCAAUCCAGCUUCAGCUCCAGAGACGGCAGGCGGGACGAGUCAACGGAGGCCUGGUGGACGAAGACCAAAGAACUACAGACUCUUCACAACCUGCUCAAACUCUUGGUACAGGACCUCACCACACGGGUCAAGAAGGUUUCUGUCUCAUUUCUACUCUGAAGCUCACCUUCUCCUGCUCAAACUGCUGACAAAUGUUUCUGCUGCUCUAAAGUCUGAUCUCCAGAACUUCCUAAAAACUCUCAAAGUCUCUUCUGCUGCAGGUUGCUUUGUAGAACUGUUCCAGAAAACCUCACUAAACCACAUGGAGGGGCCUCAAGAUAGUCGUCCAAAUGAAACCAUACAAAAACCAAACUAGCACAACCCA